AUUUUCCGUCUACAGCGAAGAUUAGCUUAAGGGGGAGAACACAUAGGGCAAGGGAGAUUUAAAUGUAUCCAAUAAAAGUAUUGUGUUUAUUUUAAAUAUAGUAUCAAAGGCAAUGACUAUAGAGAAUAGGUAUAAAAAUAUCAGACGAGAAAACAAAUUUCAAAUCUCAAACAAGGAAGAAGUAUUCAUUAGAUUAUUUUAUUCAUUAAUUUUCAAAUGUAUCUCUCAGAUGAUGAUUCUUGAGAAUGUGGAUGUAUGCAAGUUGACAAGCGGAAAUGGAAGAAAUUAGGAAAAACGAAGAAGGUGAAACGAUGAACACGUUUAUCAGGCGAGUUCUAAUGACAGAUCUCAGGCCAGCUGAUUAGUGCCGUCUGGUAUUGAUUUUCCAAUGACGACCGCGCCGCAUACUGAGAACUCCCAGCAGGACGAUGCACACGCGCACGUCCACGACGCUCUUGUUCGGUCCGUGGAGAGACACCCAUGAACGGAGGACACACACACAUAGAUACUAUAUUACAUAUAUACAUGUAUACAUGAAGAAGAGGAGUGGACUUUCACGUACAACCGUACACGCGCGUAUAGGUUUGUCUCGCAUUCAUACGUAUUGACACGUACACAUUCGCGUGCAUCGAGGAGAGAUGGAAAUAGAGAAAUGGUUCGCUUCAUCUUGUCGGCUACGACGGCUCAAGGCCGCGAGAGGAACGGCCGGGGCCGCGGUCACGAGAGGUAAAGAGAGAAAGAGGAAGAGAAAGAAAGAGGCGGGGGG